rnacentral:rRNA from 1 species
UACAGAGGGUGCGAGCGUUGUCCGGAAUCACUGGGCGUAAAGGGCGCGUAGGCGGUGACUUAAGCGUGUGGUGAAAGCUCGGGGCUCAACCCCGGGUCGGCCGUGCGGACUGGCGUGCUCGAGCACUGUAGGGGCGGGUGGAAUUCCGGGUGUAGCGGUGGAAUGCGUAGAGGUCCGGAAGAACACCGGUGGCGAAGGCGGCCCGCUGGGCAGGAAGGCUCGCAAGAGCCGGCUGACGCUGAGGCGCGACAGCGUGGGGAGCAAACAGG